CCAUACAGCUUUAUCAAUUGUUGAUUGAGAAACUCCUGUAAAAUAUUCUUCCAUUCUCAACAUCUUCAUCUACUAAUAUGCAAUUAUUACACUAAUCUUUGAACUUCUAUGAAACUUAUAUACAGGUUUUCCCUGAUGCUUUUACGAAACGUGAGUUGAAAAGUAUUCGUUUACAUUGUCCUUCUGAACAAUGUGAAUGGUUUGGCAACUACGAAGAAUUGGAAGGUCAUUAUCAAGUUUGUGAGCAUGCGCUCAUCAGCUGCGUACAUAAGCAGUGUAACAUUCAGUUACCUCGCUCUCUCCUUGGUGAACAUUUGAAGAAUGAAUGUGAAUAUCGCAAUGUAAAAUGUGAAUAUUGUGGUAAAGAUGUCCCGUAUGCUUUACUUAAGGAUCACAUGGAAAAUGUGUGUGAGUAUUAUCCUGUGGUUUGUAAAUAUUGUAAGAAAAGAUACCAAGGAAAGAUAUUGAACAACAUCAAAGUACGACAUGUGAUGAAGUGCCGACUAAAUGUGAAUUUCAAGCUAUUGGAUGUAACCAUGAUAAAACUAUAAAACGAAGGGAGAUCCGACAACAUUUGAAUGACAAUCUAAUUGAUCAUGUGAGCCUCCUGUUACGAUAUGUUAUGGCAUUUGUUACACAGUUAAGUAACUAUGUACCACGUCCAGAGUUUACCACUGCUGUUCAAAACAUGGCUGACCAAGUUACUGCUGUUCGUGCAGAUCUUUCAGAGAAAUUUGUUAUGUUAGUGGGUAAACUUACAGGUCUUGAAAGAAGGAUUGAGAGUCUCGAGGCUCGUGGUGAUAACGAUAGUAAUAAUGCCAACUCGUCAUUAGAGGUUUCUUUGAUGCGUGAUAAAAUUCCAACUCUCGAACGACAAGUGAGAGAAAAUUCCUCAACUUUACUAUGAUAUCGUGAGCGCUUAGAUCAAAUUGAUGAAUCACUAGCUAGAAACACGGUGAAGAUUACGGACCUUGAAGCGCAACGUGGCUCGCAUGCACUGGGGUCGAAUAAAGCCAUACACAGCUACAAUGGUACGUUACUUUGGAAAAUAGAUAACUACAAUAGGAAAAGACAGGACGCCAUUAAUGGUAUCAAAACAGCAUUGUACAGUGCACCAUUCUACAGUUCUCAAUAUGGUUACAAGAUGUGUGUAAGAUCUAUAUGAAUGGUGAUGGUUUUGGAAAGGGAACUCAUUUAUCUUUGUUCUUUGUUGUCAUGAAAGCUGAAAGCAGAGUUAGGAUGUAUUUUGGAGAAGAGUGAUGUUGUGCAAGAUAUGAAGGAACGAUGGAAUUUGCACAGAUAUAAAAUGCUGUCUGCUAUUAAAAAUACAAAGCAAAAGAAUGUCAGCACUAUCCUUGAAGAGCUGGAGGAUUUUCGAGUUGAAGAUGAGAAAGGUGAAGAACCGGUGUAUAAUGGCAUGUUUGCCUUUUGUGUUAGAUGACCAACGCACCCAUCGAGAUAUGAACAAAAAGCUAUUUUGGGACAUUGUUGAUGGUUAAAGAUUAGGGGAAGUUCAAGAGAUCAUUAACAAAAGUUCGUCUCCUAGACUCCUAUCAACAGGAACGUUAAGAAACAUUCAUUCAAUAAUGUUGGUGGCUGAGGGGAUGAUUGUGGCAAAGCUGAAAACGGAAAAUAUUGUCAAUGCAGUUAUUAUUUUACUUAGUUCUUUUUAUACUUUUAAUGCUGAGUAUCCUAAAGGUGUUAAUGGACAUGGCAAAAAUGUAUUUAUUCUUUUAGAACAUUUGCUUUUAAAUUCGAGUGGCAAUUGUAAGGCUCAAUUGCCAACUUUUGUCGAUAAUUUUAUUUCUUCUAUGAAGUAGAAAACUUUUGUAGUGUUAAUUAAUGGCAUGUAGUAGAGGUUUUAAGUAUUCUGUGUUUGCAAAAAAUGUGCUAUUUCUAAUUGUGUGAUUGAUUUUCUUUAGCUUAGUUAAAAAGAUCCUCUAUAUUGGUCAAAUGGUCAUGGAUAUGCACCUGAAAAAAAUGCUUAUUUAAUGGAAUUGGUUGUUUUGACCUAUAAAAGACAUCGUUCAAUAUCUUCACGACACCAUGACCUUCCGCAGCUCCUUUUGCAAUUGUCCAAUUCACGAUGGAGCCACAUUUUAUUAAAAUCUUCACAGCACUUUAAAAAGAAAGAAACAGAAAUAAGGAAAAAUACACGUUGAUGAUGUAGCGAUUUCUACUGUAGUCUUCUGUUUGUACGUAACAUAUUAUAAAUAACAAAAUUGUGUUAUUGUCUUCAA